GACGAACGCUGGCGGCGUGCUUAACACAUGCAAGUCGAACGGUAAGGCCCUGCUUUUGUGGGGUGCUCGAGUGGCGAACGGGGGAGUAAAACGUGAGUAACCUGGCCUUGACUUUGGGAUAACUUCAGGAAACUGGGGCUAAUACAGGAUAUAAGAUCCUACUGCAUGGUGGGGGUUGGAAAGUUUGGGCGGUUGGAGAUGGAGGGGCGGCUUAUCAGCUUGUUGGUGGGUGAGUUGCUUACCAAGGCUUGGACGGGUAGACGGCCUGAGAGGGUGAACGGCCACAUUGGGACUGAGAUACGGCGCAGACUCGUACGGGCGGCAGCAGUGGGGAGUAUGGCACAAUGGGCGGGAGCCUGAGGAAGCAACGCUGGGUGCGGGAUGACGGCCUGUGGGUGGUAAACCGCUUUCGCAUGUGACGAAGCGUGAGUGACGGUAACGGGUAAAGAAGCAACGGCUAACUACGUG
rnacentral:rRNA from 1 species